rnacentral:lncRNA from 1 species
AAAGAUCAAAACAUAAAAUCAAACGAAAAUAAUGAUGACAGAACAUCGACAUUAAAGCCUCAGAUUGAUGUAUGCAUGAAUUGGUCUCCGGCUUAGCUUCUGAAACAAACCUUCUGAAAGGACUCCAAAGGGAUGUUUAAAAUGUGUAAGAGAAGGAGAAGAAAAAUGUGCAGGAGAAAUGAGAGAUAUUAACAAGGAAAGUUAACAUUUGGUUAAAUGAAGCACAAACACUUGGACAGACAUGUACCAAACUUCAGUGAAGAAAACAACCUUACAAAGUAGAAUUUGCCAGAUGGAAAAGGAGGAACAAAAAUCCAUUGAAGAAAACAACUCCUGGGGAAGAAUGUGGGAAGAUGCCAGAGUAGGGAAGAACAUUCAGAAACAAAAAAAAAAAAAAUUGAACCUCUGAGCUCAUGUAGACAAGUGAGCAACGCAUAAAACUUUGAGCAGAAUAAGGGUUUCCUAGGACAACCAGAGAAGUCCAGAAAAAAGACCCCACUUUGGAGGAGUGACCAGUUAAAACAUCUCCAGGCCAGCUCCCCUGAAAGAACCAGGGAGCCCUGGGGCUUGCUGGGUUCCAGGUGGCCUCAGCCCCAAUCAAGGGGACUUUUCCCUCCUGGGACAGUACUUGGGGAUCUGAGGCCAGGAAGACUGAUAAGGAAGUCCUGGAAUAUCUGCUGAUAAGGAAUGUCAUGCUCAGCUGUGCUGUUAGGAGAGCAGGGAAAAGCACAUGCCCAGUGAGGGCAGAAGCAGAGGCACAGGGUAGCUGCUGGCUGUCUUACAGGAGGGUGGAGUUCUUGGUUUUUGAGUUCCAAGUCAGAGGGUAAAACUGAAAGAAGAUCCAGAGACAGAGGCACCAUCUCCCCCUCUCAGAUCUAGGUGAUGACACAAUUACUUUCUUAUUUUCAAAAAAAGAGCAACGGGGGCAGCUAGGUGACACAGUGGUUAGAGCACCAGCCCUGAAGUCACUGAGGACCUGAGUUCAAAUGUGGCCUCAGACACCCAACCUUCCCAGCUGUGUGACCCUGGGCAAGUCAUGUAACCCCAAUUGCCUCAGGGGGAAAAAAAGAGCAAGCAUAGGGGAAAGAAUCCAACUUCAGAUAGAGGAAACACUGGGAUUUAUCAAUAGAGGGGGGUACCGAAGGAGAAAAGCUUCCCUUACUCCAAAGAGUUAUGGUAAAUGUCUACUGUCCAGAAAGACUUUGCAGAAGAACUCAAAGAAGACUUUAAAAAUCAAAUGAGAGAGAUUGAGGAAAAACUAAAAAAAAAAAAAACAAAACAAAACAAGAAUCCAACCAAAUCCAGAGGAUUAUGGAAAGAAAGUCAACCAACUCGAAGAGGAGAUCCAGAGUUCUCAAGAAGAAAGUGACUCUUUGAAGGUUAGAACUGGCAAGGGGAAGCCAGUGAAAUUAGGAGAGACCAAGAAAUAAUAAAACAAACUAUUGCCAUGAUGUAGGAAAUGACCAGAUGGUAGAUUUACAAAAAAUAUAAAAAGAUUUGAACUCAUGAGGGAUGAUGUUCUCUACUUUCAGAGAAACCGAUCAAACAAGCAUACUACAAUCUUACAUAGACGCAUAUAAAUAUAUAUGUCUAGGUAUAUGUAUUUGCAUACUUAUACAAAGGUAUCUAUGUAUCCACGUACAUGUAUGCAUGGAUUUAUGUACAAAUAUAUCAGAAUUUAAUUGUAGCCAUCUUGUGGGAUGUUGUGGGGGCAAAAAUGGGAAAAAAUAAAAAUGUAAAAAGUGCAAAGCAGAGAACAAAAGUGAACCUAAGAGGAAGCAAAAAAUAGAUGGACAGUUCUGAAUAAAACAUGUACUGUUAAAUACAUGAUUGUUUGAACUAGAAAUCUAUUAUUUUAUAUUUUAAAUCCUCUCACAUUCUUUUGUGCAUAUGACAAUGUUUUUCUAUUGUUUUGUUUUUCUUUUUCUAUAUUUAAUUUGUUUAAAUAAAUGAAUAAAUAUGUAAAAAAAAAAGAAGUAAUAGAGUAGUGUUUUUGUGGAAUGAUUUAGGUAUAGAAGACACAGUAUUAAAUGUGCAUAAUAUUUUACUGUUUGAGAAAUACAGAAAUCCCAUCUUUUUGGAAAAAUAAUUUUACUAUAUACAAAAACUUCCGGGGAAAACUUAAAAACAGUAUAGCAGAAACUAGGUAUAGUUCAUCCCCUUACAGCAUGUGCCACUUGUUUGUCCAAAGGAAUAGUUAUUUGGUCCCAUCAACCUCACAGCAUGUCUUUGAGUCUGGAGGCUAGAUAUUUUGGUCUCGUGGCCACUUAGUUAUUUUAUAUUUUCAAAACAAACUGCGAUAUUGAACACUUCUGUUCCAUCCAGUUCGUGUAGGAUUUCUUAGAAAAACCAGACUUUGAUGAAGUCCAUUGGAAUUCAGAAGGAGCUACUUGACAAAUCCUGGAACCCAAAUCAUUCUGGGUUUCACUGAGUGUUCAAUAGUAGAUGCUAGCUUAAGCCCCACUUGGUCAUUAUUUGAGUUUUAUGGCCCCGACUGAGUGUAAAUGGCAGUUGUUUCUUCUGGGCAGAAACAAUGAGGUUCUUCCCUUCCCACAUUGUUAUUUUUAU